rnacentral:rRNA from 1 species
UGGGGAAUAUUGGACAAUGGGGGGAACCCUGAUCCAGCCAUGCCGCGUGUGUGAAGAAGGCCUUAUGGUUGUAAAGCACUUUAAGCGAGGAGGAGGGUACUGGUAUUAAUACUACCAGGUACUGGACGUUACUCGCAGAAUAAGCACUGGCUAACUCUGUGCCAGCAGCCGCGGUAAUACAGAGGGUGCGAGCGUUGAUCGGAUUUACUGGGCGUAAAGCGUGCGUAGGCGGCUAAUUGAGUCGGAUGUGAAAUCCCCGAGCUUAACUUGGGAAUUGCAUUCGAUACUGGUUAGCUAGAGUGUGGGAGAGGAUGGUAGAAUUCCAGGUGUAGCGGUGAAAUGCGUAGAGAUCUGGAGGAAUACCGAUGGCGAAGGCAGCCAUCUGGCCUAACACUGACGCUGAGGUACGAAAGCAUGGGGAGCAAACAGG